UUUUUAGAAUAAACAUGUUCCAUGAAAUAUUUGGGACAUACUUAUACUAAAA
rnacentral:pre_miRNA from 1 species